UGUGUGGCUCAGCGGUAGAGCAUUUGGCCAAUACGCAAGAGGAAAUGAGUUCGAUUCCGG
rnacentral:tRNA from 16 species